rnacentral:rRNA from 1 species
CUUACACAUGCAGUCGAACGAUGAACCACUUCGGUGGGGAUUAGUGGCGAACGGGUGAGUAACACGUGGGCAAUCUGCCCUGCACUCUGGGACAAGCCCUGGAAACGGGGUCUAAUACCGGAUAAUACUCCCGCACUCAUGUGUGGGGGUUAAAAGCUCCGGCGGUGCAGGAUGAGCCCGCGGCCUAUCAGCUUGUUGGUGAGGUAAUGGCUCACCAAGGCGACGACGGGUAGCCGGCCUGAGAGGGCGACCGGCCACACUGGGACUGAGACACGGCCCAGACUCCUACGGGAGGCAGCAGUGGGGAAUAUUGCACAAUGGGCGAAAGCCUGAUGCAGCGACGCCGCGUGAGGGAUGACGGCCUUCGGGUUGUAAACCUCUUUCAGCAGGGAAGAAGCGAAAGUGACGGUACCUGCAGAAGAAGCGCCGGCUAACUACGUGCCAGCAGCCGCGGUAAUACGUAGGGCGCAAGCGUUGUCCGGAAUUAUUGGGCGUAAAGAGCUCGUAGGCGGCUUGUCACGUCGGGUGUGAAAGCCCGGGGCUUAACCCCGGGUCUGCAUUCGAUACGGGCUAGCUAGAGUGUGGUAGGGGAGAUCGGAAUUCCUGGUGUAGCGGUGAAAUGCGCAGAUAUCAGAGGAACACCGGUGGCGAAGCGGAUCUCUGGGCCAUUACUGACGCUGAGGAGCGAAAGCGUGGGGAGCGACAGAU